UUUGUACUACUGCACUCCAACCUGGUAACAGAGUGAGACUCUGUCUCCAAAAAAAAAAAGAAAAAAAGAAUCAUGAAUAUUUUAGAACUGAAAAGUAUGCUUGAAAUUAUUUGAUGGGUUUAAUAACAGGCUGCAUACAGCAAAAGAUAGGUUAGUGAAUUCAGAGACAAAUUAGUGUAUAUAUGGAAACCUAGGUACCAAGAGCAAAAGAAAUUGAAGUAUGGAGGGGCCAGGAUAAAGAGAGGAGAGUGCAGAAGAUGUGAGAUACAGUUCAGGCUGGAUGUGGUGGCUCACGCCUGUAAUCGCAGCUCUGUGGGAGGCGAAGGCAAGAGGAUCACAUGAUCCCAGAAGUUUAAGACUAGCCUGGACAACAUAGCAGACCUUAUCUCUAUCAUUAAAAGAAGAAAAAGAAAAAAGAAUGAUAGAGUCUGAAGAAUUAAUGUUUAUUAUUAGAGACUCAUAAGAGAAUGAAUGGAGGAGGACUGAUACUUGAAUAUAUAAUGGCUAAAAAGACUUCAGAACAAAUAAAAAGAUACCAACUCACAAAGCAAGAAAGACAGAGCAAGCAUGGGCUCAACACUUUGGGAGGCCGGGGUGAUAGGAAUGCCUGAGGCCAGGACUUCAAGACCAGUCUGGGCAAAAUAGCCUUUAAUGAAAAACACACAAAAAGAGAACAGAUCCAAAUUUAUACAGAGAGAAAACCACACUCGGGUAUGUUAUGCUUAAUCUCUUAUAAACUAACACCUUAAAAGCAGACCUAGAGGGUGGGGGUGAAGGUAGAGAAGAACAAUAACAAAGCUGAUGGCUGAGUUUUCAACAAAAAUGAUAAAAACCAAAGACAAAUACAAUAACAUUUCGAAAUUGUAAAAGAAAAACUGCCUCUCUAGAAUUCUCUGUCCAGUAGAUAUUACUUUCAAAAUUGAAGGUGAAAUAUAGAGGUUUGUAGAUCUUCCAAUGUAGAGAAGUUAUCACUAGUACACAGUUUAAGAAAAAAAAGUAAAGGAAUGUCUUCAGCAUGAAGAAUAAUGAUCCCAGAUGAAGGCACAUGUCUCCGUGAAGGAAUAAGGAGCAGAGAAAA